rnacentral:rRNA from 1 species
AGUGAACGCUGGCGGUAGGCCUAACACAUGCAAGUCGAACGGCAGCACAGAGGAGCUUGCUCCUUGGGUGGCGAGUGGCGGACGGGUGAGGAAUACAUCGGAAUCUACUCUGUCGAGGGGGAUAACGUAGGGAAACUUACGCUAAUACCGCAUACGACCUACGGGUGAAAGCAGGGGACCUUCGGGCCUUGCGCGAUUGAAUGAGCCGAUGUCGGAUUAGCUAGGUGGGGGGGUAAAGGCCCACCAAGGCGACGAUCCGUAGCUGGUCUGAGAGGAUGAUCCGCCACAAUGGAACUGGGACACGGGCCAGAUUCCUACGGGAGGGAGCAGUGGGGAAUGUUGGACAAUGGGCGCAAGCCUGAUCCAGCCAUACCGCGUGGGUGAAGAAGGCCGUCGGGUUGUAAAGCCCUUUUGUUGGGAAAGAAAUCCAGCUGGCUAAUACCCGGUUGGGAUGACGGUACCCAAAGAAUAAGCACCGGCUAACUUCGUGCCAGCCGCCGCAGUAA